GCUCACUCCACCGACAGAACUAGAAAAGAUCAAUAACCCAUAAUACUAUUCCCCUUAUUGAUCUUAUGGGUUAUUCCCCAUGAAGGGAGUCUCCUUCUCUUCCUUCAAAAUCUGAAUCGCCAACUUCACAGCUCUAUAUAAGGCAUAAGCUUCAGCAGGCUCCGGAUCUGUAUAGCCAAGGACCUUUCAUAGUGCGAAAUAGCCACCAAUUUUAAGAGUCUCCUCUUGACUUUAACAAUUUUGUGCAUUGCUUCCAUCAUGGUUUCAGGAAAAGUUUGCCAAAAUUAUGCAGGAUGUCCAGAUAGUGAUUUUCAAUGUUGCUCUAUAUGUUCAAAUUCUGGUCAUCAUGGCAAAUGCGAAGGAAAUAAAUGUUGUUGCGAUGCGUUCACCCCUAUGCAAGAUAGUAAUAUGUAGAUAAAAUUGUAUCAACAAAUAUUGUCAUUCUGAUCAUGUAAGAGUCACCGUUAAAUAAUACUCCUUUGUGUAAUGCUUUCACACAAAAAAAAAAAAAAAAAAAACACCUUUGUGAUGAUAGUUCUAAAUUAUUGGUUUCACUCAAACACAUCAUUUUUGUGACAUAGAAUAAGAAGCGAAUGGAGAUAAUUGUCAACGUUGUUGCUCGUAUUUCAGCCGAGUUGGAAAGGGAAAGGCAGAAGAAUGUGGAGAUCAUGGAAAAAUAUCGAUGCUCGAAUCUCUAAGGGUGACAAUUAUCUUUCUUAUUCGUACUUUACUUAAAUAAGUGUUGACUCAUUUUAUAAUCAACAAAAGCUAACAUCUAGAGUGAAAGAAUGACAACUUUAUGCUUUAUGCACAAACUGAACCUUUGAGAUUCGUAUAGUUGAAGUAAUCACAGAUAUCUAGUGCCAAGAUUGAAGGACACUAGUCUGCUACA